rnacentral:rRNA from 1 species
CGUAGGGUGCAAGCGUUAAUCGGAAUUACUGGGCGUAAAGGGUGCGCAGGCGGCUCCGCAUGUCAGGCGUGAAAUCCCCGGGCUUAACCUGGGAAUGGCGCUUGAAACUACGGAGCUGGAGUAUGGCAGAGGGAGGUGGAAUUCCACGUGUAGCGGUGAAAUGCGUAGAGAUGUGGAGGAACACCGAUGGCGAAGGCAGCCUCCUGGGCCAAUACUGACGCUCAUGCACGAAAGCGUGGGGAGCAAACAGGAUUAGAUACCCAGGUAGUCCACGCCCUAAACGAUGAUGACUAGUUGUUGGAGGAGUUAAAUCCUUUAGUAACGCAGCUAACGCGAGAAGUCAUCCGCCUGGGGAGUACGGUCGCAAGAUUA